rnacentral:lncRNA from 1 species
CUAUAAAUAGGGUUUAGGUGACAUGCUAUGAACAUUGUUUUCAAUUUUCGAAUAGGUUAAACAGAAAUUCAUCUGCAAACCGUCAUAACUUACGGGCACAGGGGGUGAUCAGCCCGUUAUGCCCUGCAUUGAUCAAUACUACAUGCAAGAACGAGGGUAUCGUUCACUCUGUCCGCCUUGGGUGCAUAAAAGUUUUCCUGUAUAGGGAUGUUCAUACUUGUCUGGGUUCCAAAUCAAAGGUUUUAUCUUGUUCAACA